rnacentral:misc_RNA from 1 species
GAAACUGUGAACUCGUAAACGGAAUAAACUGAUUGUGAAUGUAUAAUGCAACUACAGCAUCGUCAUUUCGUGACUACUCAGUUUGAACAGCUUUUGUUCUUUCAAUUUUUGUUUAGAAUUUAUUUAUUCUUUCAAUUUCAACAGCUUGUUGCAUUUUGUUGCUGUAAACAUUCUAUCUGCAAUUUCAAAUAAUUGCUAUAAUACGACACAAAUUGGCCGAAUUGAAUUGAAAUAUAUGGGUUUGGAUCAGUUCGGUUCAAUCAACACCACGGUCCAGGUCGGUUGAUAAAUAUAAUUAAUUCCGUUCGAAAUCGAACCUACUGAUUGUACAUCCCUACAAUCCUCCACCUUCUAUGUAAACAUGCAUAGCUUUUUAGCGCUCCCUGGUGAAAGAUUUCAGUUGCUAAUUCGAAAGCUGUUUCUAUAACUAGAUUUGUAUGAGGGAUUGACAAUAACCAGUCGAAAGGUUUGAAGGAAAUUCUGAUCUACAUGGGCAAUAAAACUGGUGGGAGGAAAGGGCAUGAGGGAGAGAAAAUGAACAAUGGAGUGCAUUCCUCGAAGGAUGUAAAUGCUUGUGCAAAUUCAUCAGUUGUGAGUACGGGGGAAGGUUUGACUUUGAGUAAUGAGCAUAAGAAAAAGAAGACUAAGAGGCAUGAGGCUAAUGGUGAUGACGUUGAGCUAAGUGCUACUGAUACUGGGGCUGUUGGCCUAGAUGGUGACAUAGAUCUAAGUAAUCAUGAGAUAGAGAAGAAUAGGAAGAAGAAGAAGAAAAGGAAAUCAAAGAAGAUUAAUGCUGAAUCUGAUGUAGUAUCUCAGAAAGUUAGGAAGCGAGACAAGGCAUGUGAUGCUGGUUGGGAAAUUGGUGCAAGUAAAGAAAAUUUGAAGGAGGGUCACACUGGAGUAGGGGAGAAGGUGAGCUUGCAGAAGGAUGGCAAGAAGUAUAUGGAGCGCAAUUUUGAGUCCGGAGUACUAAAAUAUAGAAAAAAGAAGCACAAGGAGAAAAAGAGCAAAGAUAAAAAUGAAAAUGGAAGAAAUCACCUGGAUGAAAAUAUCAUGGACCAUGAUGAGUCUGCAAGGAUGGAGAGGAAGCAAAAGAAGCAGCAGCUUAUUGUUAAUUUGGAGGCUAAAUCACUGAAACUCAUGGCUGAAACACCUGGUAAUUUUAGCAAUGCAAUAGAGGAAAAUGGAGGUAAUAUAGAUUCAGGUGAAGAUGAAAACCUAGGUGCUCAUGCUUUUAAUGCAGAAGACGGAAGAAAAGAUGAAAGGAAGAGAAAGAAACGAAAAAGAGAUAAGGAUGUUAGUGAUACAGGGACAAUGAUUAAUGAAAUUAAUCAAAAAGAUGUUGGAAAUAUUAUGGAAAAGGUUCAGCAUUCAAGGAAGAAGAGUAAAAAAAGGGAAAAACAUAAUGUUGAUUUGGCAGCUGCAUUGCAGGAGACAAUGAAUGGGAAAUUAGGUAAUAAAAGUAAUCCAAUGGGAGAAAAUGAAGGUAAUGAAUAUUCAAUUGAAAAUAAAGUGGGAGGUGGAAAAAUAGAAGACCAUACUGUUAAGAAAGUCAAGAAGAAGAAGGUCAAGUCAGUUGUAAAUGGUUCAGAAGGAAAAGGUAGUGAUAGAGAACAGAGAAUGGGCAAAGGUGUCGAGGGUACCAAUCCAUUGGAAAAGUCUACACUGAAAGGGACAUCUAAGAGAGUAAGUUUUUCUGAACAGGUGGAGGUUUUCCCUUUAUCUGAUGAUGGUCCAAGCAGUAAUACUGUUCAGAAAGAGGAAGUGGUGCGAGGGAAGCGAUUCUCACAUGAGGAAGAUGAGAUGGUUAAAGAGGCUGUUUUGAACUACAUGGAUGCUCAUGGAUUAGGUGAAGAAGGCCUACAGAUGGUUCUGAACUGUAAAAAGUACCCUGAACUUAAAAAUUGUUGGAAGGAAAUAGGGGCAGCCUUACCUUGGAGGCCUUAUUUGAGUGUCUAUAAUCGAGCCCAUAUCUUGUUUGAAAGGGAUGAAAAAGGAUCUUGGACCCCAGAAGAGUAUGAACUCGUGCAUAAGUUUCAUGAGAAACAUGGUUCUGAUUGGAAAACUUUGGCUGAAGCACUUGGCAAACAUAGGAUUCAUGUGAAGGAUACAUGGCGUAGAAUAAAAGUUAUCAAUAGGAGAAGGGGAAAGUGGUCCCAAGAUGAGUACCAGAAUUUAUUUGAUUUGGUGAACAUGGAUUUGCGUAUGAAAGCUUGUGAGGAAAUGAAAUCAUCCAAACAUGGAAUGUUGCGAGAUAAUAUCUGUUGGACAGCAAUCAGUGAGAAGUUGGGGACUAGAGCUACUCCCAUGUGCUGCAUGAAAUGGUAUCACCAGUUAACUUCACCUAUGGUAGCUGAAGGUAAAUGGCUUGAUGUAGAUGACUACCAUCUUGUGAUUUCACUUUAUAACUUGGACGCUUGCUGCAUUGAAGAUGUAGACUGGGACAAUCUUUUGGAUCAUAGAUCUGGUGAUUUGUGCCGAAAGAGAUGGAACCAAAUGGUCAAACACAUUGGGGAGCAUGGGAAUAAGUCAUUUGCUGACCAGGUUGAAAUUCUUAUAGAGCGAUACUGCCCAGACGUGCUUGAAGCAAGAGAGGCUUAUAAUAGCGUACCUGUAGUUCCCUGAGUUUAUGGUCCUUUUUUUCCUCUUUUUUUAGGUUCUUUUGUAAUGUUCAGAAGCCUAAAGAUGUUGCAAUCUGCACAUCUACACGGGGUUGGGAACAUUGGGUUGUUAUGUACUGGUAUAAAGUUUUUCGUGGCCCCGAUUUAGUUUGGGACUGAUAGUAGUCUGAUUAUAGGAAUCUCAUGUUGCAAAAAGAAUUGAUUGCACAAGCUCAGAAAAUCUUUUAUGAUUC